rnacentral:tRNA from 2 species
GGAAAUGUGCCCGAAGCCCAAGGGCUACUUUGAUAGAGUAAAACACAGAGGUUAAAAUCCUCUCAUUUCCC